rnacentral:rRNA from 1 species
AGUGAACGCUGGCGGUAGGCCUAACACAUGCAAGUCGAACGGCAGCACAGUAAGAGCUUGCUCUUACGGGUGGCGAGUGGCGGACGGGUGAGGAAUACAUCGGAAUCUACUUUUUCGUGGGGGAUAACGUAGGGGAACUUACGCUAAUACCGCAUACGACCUACGGGUGAAAGCAGGGGAUCUUCGGACCUUGCGCGAUUGAAUGAGCCGAUGUCGGAUUAGCUAGUUGGCGGGGUAAAGGCCCACCAAGGCGACGAUCCGUAGCUGGUCUGAGAGGAUGAUCAGCCACACUGGAACUGAGACACGGUCCAGACUCCUACGGGAGGCAGCAGCGGGGAAUAUUGGACAAUGGGCGCAAGCCUGAUCCAGCCAUACCGCGUGGGUGAAGAAGGCCUUCGGGUUGUAAAGCCCUUUUGUUGGGAAAGAAAAGCAGCAGGUUAAUACCCCGCUGUUCUGACGGUACCCAAAGAAUAAGCACCGGCUAACUUCGUG